ensembl:lncRNA
GGAUGGAGCCUACAUACAGUGCUCAGCCCCUACUGCCGUUGAGCAGCCAGCAGCCCCCCCCCCCGAGUCCUGUAACAACCCGGGGCACCUGGGGCUGCUGCUCCAUUGAAAGCCAGGUGGAUCUCAGUUAUUUCCUUUUCAUUGGACAGAGGCUGUGGCUGAUCCCAAUCACCUCUGUGAGCUCUGCUCCUCCGGAGGAUGCUGAGGAAACGGCCUUUGCGCUGUUUGGAGCACUCUGGUGAAGGAGCAGCGCCCACUGCUCGGAAGAAGAAGAAUGGGGAAGAUGUCAGUUGAACAAAGCACUGAAAACAGGCAAUGAAAGCAACGCAUACACGAUGUGCUCGUACAGCUGCUACAAGGCAGCACGUGCUUUUAUUGCCGGCCGCCUUAUCUGCAGCAUUAGCAGUCAGGGCAGAUGGAUGCCUGCUGCUAAUGGGCUCUAACACUCCAUCCCUUCAAGACUAAUGGACAGCUUUCAGAAAGCACUUCGCUGCCACCUCCCCUGGCACAGAAUGGGACUGUGGGGUUACAUCCAAGGUGCAGCCCAUCACCUCUGCACAGCAGAGAAGCACUGGGCUCUCCCUGGAGUUGCAGUGUGUAACUCUCACCCCUCCUGCAGUUGCCAUUGCCUUCACCUGCCUGGAAGCUUCAGAAGAACCUCCUUUUUGUUUGUGGGACUCAACCAGCUCUGCAGCUGGAUUCAUUUGCAAGCAGCACUUUAGGAGAUGCAGUCAGCAAUGAGUACAAAAAUAGCACUUAUUUACUCCGUGUGCUUUGCUGACAAACAACUUCUGAAGUCCCCUGGAGAAGAUUCAGCCACAGAACAAUUCCAACACGGAUAAAUCGUCAGCUGAACUCCAACUGCAGCUGAUAGAAUAAAAAAAAA